rnacentral:rRNA from 1 species
CAGUCGCCGCGGGAAUACGGAGGGUGCAAGCGUUAAUCGGAAUUACUGGGCGUAAAGCGUGCGUAGGCGGCUUUUUAAGUCGGAUGUGAAAUCCCUGAGCUUAACUUAGGAAUUGCAUUCGAUACUGGGAAGCUAGAGUAUGGGAGAGGAUGGUAGAAUUCCAGGUGUAGCGGUGAAAUGCGUAGAGAUCUGGAGGAAUACCGAUGGCGAAGGCAGCCAUCUGGCCUAAUACUGACGCUGAGGUACGAAAGCAUGGGGAGCAAACAGGAUUAGAUACCCCCGUAGUCCCUGUCUCUUAUAC